GAGGAUAUAGCUCAGUGGUAGAGUGUGUGCUUAGCAUGCUCAAGGUCCUCGGUUCAAUUCUCAGUACCUCCA
rnacentral:tRNA from 1 species